AUUGAACGCUGGCGGCAUGCCUAACACAUGCAAGUCGAACGGCAGCACAGCAGUAGCAAUACUGUGGGUGGCGAGUGGCGGACGGGUGAGGAAUACGUCGGAAUCUGCCCAGUCGUGGGGACAACUAGCCGAAAGGUUAGCUAAUACCGCAUACGACCGAGAGGUGAAAGCGGGGACCGCAAGGCCUCGCGCGAUUGGAUGAGCCGACGUCGGAUUAGCUAGUUGGCGGGUAAAGGCCCACCAAGGCGACGAUCCGUAGCUGGUCUGAGAGGAUGAUCAGCCACACUGGAACUGAGACACGGUCCAGACUCCUACGGGAGGCAGCAGUGGGGAAUAUUGGACAAUGGGCGCAAGCCUGAUCCAGCAAUGCCGCGUGUGUGAAGAAGGCCU
rnacentral:rRNA from 1 species